rnacentral:lncRNA from 1 species
GUGCCGGCGAGCAGCUUGAGUCAGGGUCUCCGGGGAGACGUCCUCAGGUCCCUGUGGAGCGGCCCCGAAGCCUCGGGAGCCAGCUUCACUAGACAAGAGGCAGAGGUAGAGAAUGCGGCUGUGGUGGGUAAGUGAGUCACUGCGUGAGGCAGUCUUUUCAAAGCAGGAAUGCGAUGUUAAUUCUGGGGCAUUGAUGUUUUACAAUGCCUGAUCAAGAUAAAAAGGUGAAGACCACAGAAAAAUCAACUGAUAAACAGCAAGAAAUCACCAUCAGGGACUAUUCAGAUCUUAAAAGACUUCGGUGCCUUUUGAACGUCCAAUCAAGCAAACAACAGCUUCCAGCCAUUAACUUCGAUAGUGCCCAAAAUAGCAUGACGAAGUCUGAGCCCGCCAUCAGGGCGGGUGGACACAGAGCUCGGGGUCAGUGGCAUGAAUCCACAGAAGCUGUUGAACUUGAAAAUUUUAGUAUAAACUACAAGAAUGAGAGAAAUUUCAGCAAACAUCCUCAGCGUAAACUAUUUCAGGAGAUCUUUACCGCCUUGGUGAAAAAUAGACUCAUAAGCAGAGAGUGGGUUAAUCGAGCCCCAUCUAUUCAUUUUCUGAGAGUGUUAAUCUGUCUGAGGCUACUAAUGAGGGAUCCAUGUUAUCAGGAAAUACUCCAUAGCUUGGGUGGGAUUGAAAACCUAGCUCAGUAUAUGGAGAUUGUAGCCAAUGAGUACCUCGGCUAUGGAGAAGAGCAGCACACUGUGGACAAGCUGGUCAACAUGACAUGUAAGUGUUAUUGCAGGGACACAGCCAUUUUUGUGGACUUGCUAGAAAAAGCAGUAUGGUGUUUGCAGCAGGAAACAAGGAUACUUUAAAUAUUUAUUAAUGUUCGCACACACAGCUCAGGUGUUGAGCAUCCAGGCCAAUUGUUAUAUUCAGUGGCAACAUACAGCCAGAAGAAAGAUGUUUAGAUUACAACCUUUACCUUGAAAAGCACAAUUUAUUUAAUGCAAGAGAGGCUUCCAUAAAAGCAAAUUUUGGUAAAAUCUAUUUUUGCGUCUUUUUAUUUCUGUUAAAAUGUCAGAGACUAUCCAGUUUUUUUUCUAUAAAGUUGGGUUAAUCAUGAUUGCCUACCUCAUAGAAUCUGAAACAUCCAGAGCAUGAAAAAGAAAAAUAACAACAAACCUUAUCUGAUGCUGCGAAUGUGAAAACAUUGGACUGUGAGUGUGAGGUAUUCCUUAGUCACUCAAUCUUCUCCCGUUGGAGGCUCUUCCCAGCCCUGCUGUCCUGCACUCCAGCUUUGAUGAGUCACAGACGUCCUGCCGUGUGGGAUGCCUGUCCGUUUUCUUUGUGUGACUGGACUGGCUCUUCAUAUCUGCUUGUGGAGCAGCACAGUGAUUCUCAGAUCCAGGGAGAGAAGAGUUUAUGGCAAGCCCUGGGCACUAGGAAGUCUCUUUGAGGAUGACUAUUUUCCUCAGCUGAGGAAACGUGCAGGUUCCUCUCAUUUGCUGGCCUUCCCUCUCUUCUUUAUAAGUUGAAAUCUUCACAGAGAGGAUCUUUGAAGAAUAGGCCUCACUUUGAACUGGUAAUGAUGUUAAGGAACUUCAAGUGGAAAGAGAGGUUUGCCUUUUUUGGUAUUUUUAUAUUUCAUUAUUACAAUAAUAUUAGAAAAUAAAUACCAGUGGAGCUUGAGGAGUAAUUCUUGGGGUAAAAAAGUAGCCAUGCUGCUCCUGCAUCUGUUGUUCCUUUUGUGCUGUGUUCCCUUUGACCUUUCUCUGCCUGCCCAUAUGCACUGCAGAUCUGUGCUCCUGGAAGUACUCCCCCUUUAAUCUCUGGAUGCCUCUUUGCGCUCUUUCUUUCCUUUAUAGAUAUUUUUCAAAAACUUGCUGCAGUCAAAGAUCAAAGAGAAUGGGUCACCACAAGUGGAGCCCACAAGGUGAGUGGCCCCUGAAAGAGUUAAUGCUUCAGCUCCCUAUGGCAAUAGUUCACAUUAGGGAAGUUCAGAGCCUUUGCGGUUAAGUCAUGUGUAAUUAGAAUCCACAAACCUACCAGCCUGGCCUGAGAUUGUGGAUCUUUGUCAACCCUUUUAUAUUCUUUACCAGCAUUACAAGUUAAUAGAGAUAUAAUAAAUACAAGUUUUCUGGAACUCUUUUCUUUUUUUUCCUAUGCCAUUUAAUACCAACUAGGUUUAUUACUUAAAUAUUAUUUGAAAAGCCCCAGCUAUGUAUAAAUACACCCUAGGUGUGCAUUUAUAAAUAAGUCAACAGAAAUAAACAAAAUGUACAUAUGUAUACAUAUAAAUUCCAUAUGGCAUGUGGGGCUAUAUUAGUUUGAACCAUAUAUGAUUGCCAUUGUAGGUCAAAACAGACUAUAUUUAUAGCAAAACUGUUUAGACUGUAGCCAUGUGGAGCCAAGUUUCAGAAACCUGUUGAGUUUCAUAUCCCGGGAAGCCACUUUCUAGUGUAUAUGGGAGCAAGAUUGCCUAAAAUGUGUUAACACAUGCUGCUCAUGGUCUAGAGGAUGAUUCUAGGUGAUACACAGGUCAACAUUUUUUGUUUCAGUAGCCAGCUAUUUCACAGGUAUUAUUGCUUACAAUUGGAAAAAAUUUUUUUGAGUUAACAUUAAAGAUGUUAGUUGAAUAUGGCAAAAAAUGUGAAAAUGAUAUGUAAUGGAUUGAAGUUUGGGAAACAUUAGAAGACAGAGAAGAAAGAGAGAAGAAAAAGAGGAAAGGAUCAGACAAAUAAAGAUAAUGAUAACUUCAUUAAGAUAAAAUGAAAUCAUAAAGGCAAAAAAUCCAUAUACUGGAAACAUAAAAAUUACCUUAGCCGUUGUUGCGCAGGUUGCAGCUCUGACCUGAGACAUUUUGGGAGGCACUUUUCAGGGGCACUCCGCAUUCUGAAAAUGUAGAGAAUUUUCCAAAUAAGAAAAUUUGCCUUAACGAGAAUUCAGGGAAAGCCACUGACAAGCUACAGACUUCCAGCUAAGUCAUGUUAGUUAGGAUGAUGCUUGGGAGCAUCAGUGAUGCACUUUCAACAUCAAUUAGAAAUCUGGGAGGCAAAUGGAAUGCUCGAUAGUAUUCAUAUCUUGUUUAGUUUGGCAAAAGAAUGAAAGUUUCAAUAUUUUGUUGAAAAAUCGUUUCAUAAUUUGGAAAGUGCCUAGCACAAUGCCUGGCUCAAAGUGAGUUCUCAAUGGCUGAUCACUACCACUAUUGUAAUUUAUGUCAUUAAUCUUCCUGGUUCUUCCCAGCGUGGGAUCAGAAGGGGGAGAGAAUACUUGGGCACAUGGAAAUAGAAGGAUGUAUGAGAACCAGGCUGGUCAUGUAGCUUGAUGCCUUUUCUUCCUGUCCUGGGCAAGGAAUGGCUACAAGAGGUUACUAUCAAGAGUUCCAAAGUAAGGAGAGAUGGACUCCUGCCAUCUGUAAAGAACUGGAUAUUUUGAAUGUUUAAUAAAACUCUUUUUAAGAUAAACUUUUAUAUUGACUGCAAAAAAUAAAAAGGAAGCUGCAUAAGGCUUGAUAGGGCAUAAUUUUUUUCACUAUUCUAUGGGUAAAGCCAUAAUAAAAUAAACAACUUGAUUAUAUUGACAAAAAGUGUUUAUAAAGAUAUAUUUAAUGCCAUGAAAAAAUUUCAGUAGAUAACAUUAAGAAAAAAACAUAAGAGAGAGCAGCUUUAACAUUAUAUAUAGUUUGUGCUUAAUUGUAUAUGCACAUACAUUAUAAACUACUAAGC